UAUUUUUGUGUACCAUCUAGUUACAGUGAAUGGGCCUUGGCUGUUGGAUGUUCCAGCUACAUCUGUCUGCAUAGCUGUGAAAAAUAUAAGGUUCAGCUGCGCUUCCCAGGCCUACAGUAUGUAUUAUCCCAGCUAUCUGUGGGAUACAGAACUAGCAAACUUCCACAAGCAGUAUGACUGGACAUUCAGCCCAGAGGCAUUACGCUGUGAUGUAGAGCCAUCUGCACCAGACCUGAGAGUGAGGGUCUUAUUGGCACUACUGUGUCUGGUGGGAUACAUCAUGGUGUUUCUGGAGUUCUACACUAGGAGCAUCCUCAGAAAAGUGUCUGCAUCCUUCUUCAAAAAGCAACCCACUCCAACUCGCAAUACCGCCCAAACAGAUCCACAGAUGACGCAAUCUCCAUUGCACUCCACACUGCAGUCUACCACCUGGACAAG